UACAGAGGUCUCAAGCGUUGUUCGGAUUCAUUGGGCGUAAAGGGUGCGUAGGCGGCGCGGUAAGGCGGGUGUGAAAUCUCGGGGCUUAACUCCGAAACUGCAUUCGAUACUGCCGUGCUUGAGGACUGGAGAGGAGACUGGAAUUUACGGUGUAGCGGUGAAAUGCGUAGAUAUCGUAAGGAAGACCAGUGGCGAAGGCGGGUCUCUGGACAGUUCCUGACGCUGAGGCACGAAGGUCAGGGGAGCAAACGGG
rnacentral:rRNA from 1 species